GGAAGUAAAAGCCGUAACAAGGUUUCCGUAGGUGAACCUGCGGAAGGAUCAUUAAUGAGUUGUCAUGGGGUUCGUUGCUGGCAGCCAGUUUUUGGAUGCAUGUGCUUGCCCUAACAAUAAUCUUCUUCCAAACACCUGUGCACAUUUUUGAGGGAGUCUUGAGUUGGUUGCCGCUCUUGGGUGAUUUUCUCACAUUCCCUUAAAUCAUUAUACGCUAUUAACAAUGUUGAACGUGCUCUGUGCCGCAAGGCCAUUAAUAUAAUACAACUUUUAACAACGGAUCUCUUGGCUCUC
rnacentral:misc_RNA from 1 species